CCUGCUGUGAAGCUUUUCUUGUUUAAAGCUCAAUUUCUCUAUGACAACGGAAGUAAUCAUCCUGAUGCAUUCUUGCCAUGUGAAUGUUGAGACCGUGUUCAUUUUUGAAAUAUCCUUUCCGACAGACCUAUUCCACAGGAUCAGCUGAGAUGUUAUUUCACUGGAUUAUUUAAUGGAUAGGCUUAUUGGACAUAUAUUUGGAUAUCUCUGGAUCAGCUGAGAUGUUAUUUCACUGGAUUAUUUAAUGGAUAGGCUUAUUUGGCAUAUAUUUUGGAUAUCUCUGG